GGUCGUGGCCCCCUGCCCGUGGGUCCCGGCGUGCACUGGCUGCAGACAGAAACCCCCUCGGCUGUGUAGGGCCCCCCCAGGUACCUCCCCAGUGGGGGGGGGCCCAAAGGGGCCGGGGGGACAAAG
rnacentral:snoRNA from 1 species